rnacentral:rRNA from 1 species
UUUUCUGGUGGACUGCUAGGCACGCUGCGCAGCCUACACAUGCAGUCGACGACUCUUCGAGUUAGNGCGGACGGGUGAGUAACNCGUGGAAACGUGCCUUUAGGUUCGGAAUAACUCAGGGAAACUUGUGCUAAUACCGAAUGUGCCCUUCGGGGGAAAGAUUUAUCGCCUUUAGAGCGGCCCGCGUCUGAUUAGCUAGUUGGUGAGGUAAAGGCUCACCAAGGCGACGAUCAGUAGCUGGUCUGAGAGGAUGAUCAGCCACAUUGGGACUGAGACACGGCCCAAACUCCUACGGGAGGCAGCAGUGGGGAAUCUUGCGCAAUGGGCGAAAGCCUGACGCAGCCAUGCCGCGUGAAUGAUGAAGGUCUUAGGAUUGUAAAAUUCUUUCACCGGGGACGAUAAUGACGGUACCCGGAGAAGAAGCCCCGGCUAACUUCGUGCCAGCAGCCGCGGUAAUACGAAGGGGGCUAGCGUUGCUCGGAAUUACUGGGCGUAAAGGGAGCGUAGGCGGACAUUUAAGUCAGGGGUGAAAUCCCGGGGCUCAACCUCGGAAUUGCCUUUGAUACUGGGUGUCUUGAGUAUGAGAGAGGUGUGUGGAACUCCGAGUGUAGAGGUGAAAUUUGUAGAUAUUCGGAAGAACACCAGUGGCGAAGGCGACACACUGGCUCAUUACUGACGCUGAGGCUCGAAAGCGUGGGGAGCAAACAGGAUUAGAUACCCUGGUAGUCCACGCCGUAAACGAUGAUUGCUAGUUGUCGGGAUGCAUGCAUUUCGGUGAGCGCAGCUCACGCAUUAAGCAAUCUGCCUGGGGCGUACGGUCACAAGUU